AAGGGAGAGUAACGGGUGGUUACUUACCCUCAGGCUCGGGAUAGUGUCGGGAAACUGACAGUAAUACCGAAUAAUAUCUUUGGAUCAAAGGUGUGAUUCCGCCUGGGGAUAGGACCGCUUUCUAUUAGCUUGUUGGCGGGGUAAUGGCCCACCAAGGCUGCGAUGGAUACCGGGUGUGAGAGCAUGGCCCGGCUCACUGGGACUGAGACACUGCCCAGACACCUACGGGUGGCUGCAGUCGAGAAUCUUCGGCAAUGGGCGCAAGCCUGACCGAGCGACGCCGCGUGCGGGAUGAAGGCCUUCGGGUUGUAAACCGCUGUCAGUUGGGAGGAAGGCGCUGUGAAGAGCAGCGUUUGACCGAUCUUCAGAGGAAGGACGGGCUAAGUUCGUGCCAGCAGCCGCGGUAAGACGAACCGUCCGAACGUUAUUCGGUAUUACUGGGCUUAAAGAGUUCGUAGGCGGCCUAGCAGGUGAGGUGUGAAAUCCAACGGCUCAACCGUUGAAUUGCGCUUCAAACCGCUAGGCUCGAGGAUGGCAGGGGUGUUGGGAACUGAUGGUGGAGCGGUGAAAUGCGUUGA
rnacentral:rRNA from 1 species